GCAGCCGUAUGGGUUAGUCCUCUCGAACUCCUUGUCCCUAAUUGCCAGCACGUAUUUCCGGGGACUCUAGGGAGACUGCCGGUGACAAACCGGAGGAAGGUGGGGAUGACGUCAAGUCAUCAUGGCCCUUACGGCUUGGGCUACACACGUGCUACAAUGGCCGGUACAAAGGGCUGCCACCCCGCGAGGGGGAGCAAAUCCCUUAAACCUGCCCCCCUCCGGAUUGAAAUCUGCAUCUCGACUCCUUGAAGUCGGAAUCGCUAGUAAUCGCGAAUCACCGUGCCGCGGUAAAUACGUUCCCAGGCCUUGUACACCCCCCCCUAAAG
rnacentral:rRNA from 1 species